GGGAACCCUCUUGACUCCCGUGACCCUUCUCAGAGAUUUUCCUCUUCAUCGGUUGAUCUGAUUCCAGAACAAGCAGCAGGCCAGCCAUGCGGUGCUGCCAGGGCAGCGGUGAGAGAGCCCGGACAACUGCCUCCGGGAGCUUCAGGGUUAAUGUUCGUGCGUCAAAGUUACGUGGAGAGAAGGGGCCCCAGCGCGGAUGGGGUGGUGGUGGUGAGUCCAGACCUCCUGUGACCACUGUGACCUGAGAACUGAACUAGGGAAGUUGCAAGACGGCGGGGGAGACAGGCGCGCCCCCAGGGAAGGUGAGGGAGGAGCCGCGUGACUGACAGCGAGCCUGCGCUGAGUUCUGCAUCCUAACGCAGCCGGGGACGGCCAGGACGGACUGAGGCUGGUCUGCCUUCCUUGGGUCUGUGAAGCCACAGGCUGUUUACUAACCUCCUUUUCCACCCCCGCACUGGCUCUCCUAAUCCUCACAACAACCGAACAGCUUCUGUCACGGUUCAGCAAGCCUUCAGUUAUAUCAGCUCUAGUCUGGGUGCGGCUGAGGUGGCUUUGGUCCUGUGAGUGGAAUGCCUACAAGCGGAUGGACAAAUAGACUGGCCUAUAAAAAUUAUGAUGGUGAAAAUUUCACUGAAGAAUUCAGCCCACAUCACCAUGUUUACAAACAGAGAUGCCCCAGACUGAGGACUGGGUGACCAAGCAUUUGUCCCCAGAGCAUUUUUUUUUCUUUUUUUUUCUAUCUAAGCAAGCUGGGAUUAAUCAAAAUCUCAAGGAUCUUCCUGUUCUGCUCUGUGAAAUUGGGCUAACAGUGUCAGUCUACCCCAUGAGUCUGGCGGGGUCAAAUAACAUGAAACGAUGUGUGUGGAAUAUGAAAAGUAAUGCUGUGUCUAUUUUCGGUUGAAAUGAUGUGUCCGACGCCAG